ACGAAUAUCGAAAAAGAAAAAAGGUGGUGGUCUGGUCUAAGGAGGGGAGGUGGGCGUGGUGGAUGCGAUGUGCGCCGACCUGUUAUCCUCCCACCGUCAAGAGAGAGUGGUGAUCGCUGCUCUGUGAAGCCAGCCUGACGCGGUGCCCUCUGCUCUAAGAACCAAGAAGCACAGGCCUUCGCCCAAGCCGCAUGGCUCAAUCUACCUGACUUGGAACGGGCAGGCCAGGCUUCUACACGAUCGCAACCAACCCAGAUGUGGCUCCAUAGACCAUUCCAAACCUCAUUUGCCCACGCUUGUGUUACAAGCCAACGCUACCUGGCUCGGCGAUAGAAGCGCUUCCAAAGCUUAAGAUAAGGUUUAUACAUCUAAUUAGAAUGGCGAUGUGGGACUAAUUCAACAUUCGUCCUCAGCGAUUCAUGCACCAAUUGUUUAUUGUCUUUCUCUUCUUUGACGUAAAAGCUUCGGUUGUCAUAUAUUGAUUUAUCAUUCGGAGUAGAUCGAAAUUAUCGUUAAAGUUUAAUGGCUAAGGAUUGCAUGGAUCAUCAUCUUAGACCAUUAGUGACUGCAUAGAUCAUCAUGGGUGGGUGUAAAUGACUAUUUGUCAAGUUUCGUCAUUGAACCUUAUAAUUAGUUAUGAACAAAUCAUUACCUUAUCGAAAUGGUUAACAGUACUAUUGUAGAUUUCUUUGUGUCUUUCUUACUUACGAAGUAGACUUUGAAUUCUUUUACUGACCAUUUGAAAGAUAUGAUCGAAGUAAGAUGAAAUUGAGAGUAGAGAAUUUCUUUUAAAAAAAGUACAACAUAUGAGUGUGAGAAAUAGUGUGUGGGGCCAUUUGCAUCAUGAAUGCAUCGACAUGAUCCAGAGCUUCCAUAAAAAAUCUCUAGAUUUGGUAGAUGAAAUUAGAGAGAACAAGUUUCUCAAAAAUUUAAUGAGUGAUAGGAGAUUCGCUCGAUAGAACCACUUAGUAAAGUUCUUAACCCUUUUGGAUCUCAUGUUACAUGUCAUCAAUUGUUCAUGCGAAGGUAUACUCAUCUUAUUAGUGGAGUGCACCUCAUAUUGAGGUAGACAUGGUUGAGGCUAGACUUGAGGCUAGACUUGAUUGGCCUAUUGAGGAAGCAAUUACGAUGGUAAGGGAGAGGCUUGUGAUAUUGGGUGUGGGAUGAUCGACUCGGAGUUCUCUAUGAUGCUCAAAAUUGAUCUCGAUUAUGAAUUUUUUUAUGGUUUAUAAAUAAUUAGAUUGUGUUGUUAUGCGUUAUAUCAAUUAUGAGUGAAAGAGACAAUAGUCUAUAUCAUCAUAGUCGAGUCUUAUUGGGUGACUCCAUAGAAGUCCUUAGCUAGUUGACUUGAGCUAGACUCCCAAUUGAAAAUAAAAACCAUGAUCACUUACGACUCUCAUUGAUAGCAUAUAUCUAGAAUCAAUCUGGAUGCUCAUAUAAAGAGGUCGACUUCCUUUUAACAUUAUGGUAAGAUUAAAUUUGGUCAUCAAUUCAAUUUGAUACAAAUGAUUUGACUUAAUCUGUUUUUGAGUAUGAUAAAAAGAAGUCAUUAAGUAUUUGAACAGUAUCAUGCGUCCCUUAACCCAAUUGGAUUCAAGAAUCAAUUAUAUUUGUACCUUAUAUCAUGUUUUUUUUUUUUAAACUUUAUAGGGUUUGUUUGGUAAAAUCACUCUGAUGAUUAAAUUAGUGUACGUCUAUAAGCAUCUAAAGCCGAUGUGUGUGUUAAGUAAAUUUUGAAUGAAAUCAUAGUUAAGAAGAUCACCUUAUAUAACAUCAUUCUAAUAAUUAUCUUGCUUCUUACACAAGGAUUUGUCUAGUAAAUUAAUAUAUGCUCAUAAGCAUCUAAAACCAGUGAGUAUUUAUUAACUUCUUCAUCACUUUCGAUAACUAAUAUAUAACAUGUCUAGCCUAUAUAUAACAUGUUAUAUGUUAUAUAUAAGUUAUAUAACAUCAUGCAAGCUUAUUAAUUGCAUGCUCUUUUGAAGCAAAUUGUUUCUUGGAAAAUCUAUUUGUUAGUGAACCGAUGCACUGCUGUGGUUGAUGAGUUAGCACGACUUAAUUCACGGAUCGAUGUCGGGAGUCUUCGAUCGUCUGAGCUGGUUGCUGAGGUCGGAAAGCUGGUUGGUGGCUCUUACUCGAGACGUUGGUUGAUGGUUCUCCGCCGGGAUGCUGGUCGGCGCGUAGGGGGAGGCAAUCUCUCUUGAUCGAAAUGAUCUUGCUUUGGGGAUGAUCGCUCUCUUGCACAGAAGGACCCGUCGGGUGAUUACCGAUUGUGACCCCUCAAUCAAUCAAUCAGUGUGGAGUUAUCUUUUUUCCUUUUUUCCCCUUGGCCAGAUGCCGCCAUGAGCUUUUAUACUAUUGUACGAGGGUUGGUCAUACGCGGGUUUGGCAUGACGAUCGAUCCUCGAGAGGUGAGAUGGUACCUUUAUGCGACCGCCGUCCCAGGCUUACCGGGUCGGGACAUACCGAGCAACGUCUUAGUAUGAUCUUUGGCUCAGUGUGUGGGGGUGCUCCCCUGACUUGACUGUAGCGUAGCAUGACCUCGAUUGUGACGUGGCCUGAAGCCAAAAUGUAUCUUAUCACUGUUAAUGAUAGAUUAAUACAUCUUUAUCGAAUGGAAAUGAUGCAAAUGUUUACUCGUAAGGAUAGGUGAAACCAUUUCAAAUUGAAUUGGACGUCAAUUUAAUUCAAAAUUUUAAAGUUAAUAAAUUAUAGGUUAGACUCGAAUAUAUAUCAUUCGGCUUUCUAUGUUUAUCAAUAUGAGGCUAUUUUCUUCGUCAUCUUUUUCAAUCUCUCCUCACACAUGAAUAUCUUCUUUGAACAUAAUUACCUGAAAUGAGCUUGCAUCAGAUAACUAAAACCAGAUGACUCAUGUGGCAUUUUCUUGACAGUGUUCUAAGAUGUGUUCUUUCCGUAAUAGAUGCACAUCUUUGUCUUGUAUGAUGGAACAGUAGAAAGCCUGAUGAACAGUAGAAACCAUGCACCUCAAGACCAAGAGUAAAAUAUAAGCAGGCAAUGAAAGAAUUCAGCAAUUAUUUUCGAACCCCAUCAACAAAGAAUAUCUACUAAACGAACAAUAUAUUAUCUGCAGGGCACCGAACAGGGAAAAAAAUUGGAAGCUAUAAUCCUCGUUAAAAGGCAAAACUUACGAGCUUUAUGGCAACCUCUUCGUUUGUUUAGAGAUUAAUUCCUGCAUCAAAAGAUAACAACAACAACAACAACCCCACACGAUCAGAUUUUUAUCAUUCCUGCAACAAAAAAAAGGAAAAAUCUGCACGAAGUAGCACCCGAAUUGAGAAAAGAUCGAAACCGAAAGAGGCCACAGACCUAAAUAGAUCUCUCCAAAGGAACCGCUCCCGAUCUUGCGACCAAGGCGGAACUUGUCCCCCACGCGAGGCUCCAUCCGACGGAGAUCAGAAACAGGAGCGACCGCAACGCUCCCGACUCAAACCAUGUCCAAAGAAAAAGAGGGUCCAACAAGAACGGCGAAGCCCCACACUCGAUAUCACGAAGACAUCAUCGACUCACCGUAACGAAAGAAGAAGAUGAUACAAGGAUUCCGGCAAUUCGAUCACGCAAGGAUUUCGCAAUCGAGAUUAAUCGAUCGAGGAAUUAAGACGAGGAUGUCAGUGUCAUUAAGACGAGAGAUCUGCUUGCAAAAAAGUAGGGUUUGACGGAGAGGGAGAGAAGGGGAAAGAGCAGAGAGUGGAAGGGAAGAAGCAGAGGAUAACGUAUUCGGUCACGCUUUAUUCCCGUUGGUGUUGGAACAGCUUGUACGGAAUAGCGUACUAACCAUACAGCAAACUCCAACCUACGUAUUAGGCAAAAUUGUAGUAUUGCGCAACUUUGGAGUCAUGUUUUGGCGUCACCUUUGAGGUGAGGACUUAUAGUCAUCAUUACAUUCAUAAACGAUUUAAUUAUGCUUUAUUUAUUUAUUUUUAUUUUGGAUGAAUAUAUUGUAUGCAAAAAAAAAAAGGAAAGGAUUUUAGAAUGCAUCAAACGUCUUAGAUUUUUUUUUUAACUAUGGACAAAUGCUUUUUUUUUCCUGCAUAAUUGCGUUUUCUUUGAUGUUUGAUGCUUUAUAUAUUUUUUAAUUCCGAAUGAAUAUAUUAUGUAAAAAAAUAUUUUAAAAUAUAUUAAAUAUUUUAUUUUUUUUAGAAUGUUCAAAUGUUUCAAAUAUUUUUUUUAUUUUGGAUAAAUAUAUCUUAUGCAAAAGAAACACAUGCGUCACACGCAACGACUUGAUCCCAUUGAAUAUCUUGAAUGAUUUUUUAUUUUAGAUAAAGGUUUAUUUAUCAUAUCAUAUGUCUUGGAUUUUUUUUUUUUCAUAGACAGAUAUAUCAUGUACGAAGAGGAUGUGUUGGUCGUUUCGAAUACGUUUUUUGAUUUAGACGGAUAUAUAAGAAUGUGUUGAUAAAAAGGACUUAUAUAUGUUUAUAUUAUAGUUUUUGACAUAAAUGAUGGUGUGGCGCAGUGGUGAAAAUUCUCAACCAUUAAAAAAAUAAUAAUAAUCUCGAUCAGAAUGAACAUAAACUACGUUUCUUUUCUUUCGUGAGUUGAGGAAGAUGGAUUUGACCAGUUGAGAUUGGGCGAUUGAGUUGGUUGGCCUGACGCAUCGAUGAAGAAGAAUGUGGAGCGAGAGAAGGAAGAGUUAGAGAUAGUCAUACAUAUAUAUAAGUCCUUCGUCAAUCGUUUUAACACGUACAAAGGUCGGUAUGGGUGAUAAAGGGAGAGAAAGAUGGCAUGGUUUAAUUAGUUAGAGGUGCAAACGAUUAUCUUUUGUGAGACUGUGUUGAAAAGAAUAAAGACUUUUAUUCUUCUGUUUUUUGGUGAGGGUGAGAGGUUGGGACUACGUAGGAAUGGCUGUGUGGGGAGGAUGGAGACUUCUUUUCUGAGGUUGAUAGGUGGGCGACUGUGUAGGAGGAAAGCCCGACCUGUUGACAUUGGGAUCUAAGAAGAUUGGCUGGCCCGACUUGGAUUUCCCUAUUUGUGUUACAAGUUUUAAUUAUUAUGGGCUGAUGCUUAAAAUGGCGGUAAACAAUUUCAUUUUUAGAGUGAAUAGUGAGUUGUAAUCUUCCAUUAGCUCCUCACAACAAAUCUAUGAUCAAUUUAACGACUUGGUCAUCUUGAACGUGUGAUCGUAUCUUACGGGCAUGACCAUUUUGAGGAAAGUGGUUAUAUGAUCAUUUCGAGGUUUUGAAAGACGUAAUUGAUUUGAGGAGUGAUCAUCAUUAUAAUAUGAUUGACUCGAGGAUUGAUCGAGUUGGAGUGAGAUCCAAUCUUGGGCGCAUAUAUUUGCCUCAUUGACACGAUGAGAUAAUGGAGAUUGAGUGAGAUCCAAGCUUGUUUAUUGUUUUUCUUUUCUCCGAUGUAAGAGCUUCGGUUGUCAUAAGAUUUACCAUUUGGAGUGAUUGAAAUUAUUGUUAAAGUUUGAUGACUAGUGAAUGCAUGGAUUAUCAUAUUAGACCAUUAAUGAAUGCAUAGAUCAUCGUGCGUGGGUGUAAAUGACUACUUGCCAAGUCUUGUCAUUGAACGUUAUAACAUAGUCGAUAAGGUAUAUUUUGGAUUCUGAUCACGUCACGACCCAUGUUGCAUCACGCCCCUGCCAAGUUAGCACGAGGGGUGCUUCCUUGUGCUGAGCCGAAGCCCGUACAGGGAGGCGUCCCCUCGGCGAGUCCCAUCCCGGAAAGCUCGGGAUGGUGCCGCAUGGCGCCAUUCCGUGCAUACCAGGCGACGAUCGCACAAUAGUACCAUCUCAUCACUCGGGGGAUCGGUAGCCAUGCCAAAUCCGCAUACGACCGAUCCUUUGGCAAUAGCAUAAAAGCCAAAGAUCGGUAUCUGGCCAGGGGGAAGAAAAAAAGAGAAAAAAGGACUAUUGACUUAAUCUACGAGGGGCCCAAGUCGGGAACCUCCUGACCAGAGCCUAUGUACAAGAACUCGGCCACCCCCCAGAGGCGCAACCAUCCCGAUCGAGAGACGCGUUCCUAAAGACGACGUUAAUAUCCCGACUCCUGAUCCUACCGACAUCAGCACUUCUUCCAAACGGCCAAGAGACGCAUUCCCAGAAGAUAUGACGUUAACAUCCCAACCCCUAAUCCAACCAACUCUAGCACUUUGCCCAACCGAUCGAGAUCUCCUGACAUUGACUUGUGGAUGAAGUCAUGCUGACUUCUCGACCACGACACAUAAGUUUACCAAUAAUCAGAAAUAAAUUAUUAUUUUAUCGAAUGAUUAAUAGCACCAUUGCAGACUUCUUUGUGUCUUUCUUGCUUACAAAGUAGAUUUUGAAUUCUUUUACUAACUAUCUAAAAGAUACGAUCGAGGCAAGAUGAAACUGAGAGUAUCAUUCCCGAGCAUUUCCUUAAAGAAAAGUACAACAUAUGAGAGUAUGAUAGAUGGUGUGUGGCGCCAUUUGCAUCAUGAAUGCAUCCACAUGAUCCAAGGGGUCAUAGAGCUUCCAUCAAAAGUUUCUAGAUUUGAUAGAUGGAAAUUGGAGGGAAUAAAUUUCUCAUGAAUUUAAUGAGUGAUAGGAGUUUUCCUCGACAGAACCACUUAGUCCAGCUCUUAACCCUUUUAGAUCUUGUAUUACAUGUCAUCAACUAUUCAUGCAAAGUUAGACUCGUCUUGUUGGUGGAGUGCACCUCAUAUUGAGGUAGAGAUGGUUGAGACUAGACACGAUUGGCCUAUUGAGGAAGCAAUUACGAUGGUAAAGGAGUGGCUUGUGAUAUUGGGACAGUUGGUGGGAUGAUCGACUUGGAGUUCUCUAUGAUGCUCAAAAUUGAUCUCGAUUAAGAAAUUUUUUAUGGUUUAUAAAUAAUUAGAUUGUGUGUUGUUAUGAGUUAUGUCAAUUAUGAGUGAAAGGGACAAUGGUCUAUAUCAUCCUAGUCGAGUCUUAUUGGGUGAAUCCAUAUAAGUCCUUAGCAAGCUGACUUAGAGUUAGAUUUUCAAUUGGAAAGAAAAACCAUGAUCACUUAGGACUCAUUGAUAGCAUAUAUCUAGAAUCAAUCUGGAUGCUCAGGUUGACUGUUGUAAUAAAAAUUAAGAGACAUGUUUCUUCGUCAAUAUGUUCUUAUGGGGACUUUCUAUAUUUGAUUUUCUUAUAAUAUUAUUUUAAGGGCCUUCCUUUUAACGCUAUGCUAAGGUCAAAUUUGGAUGCUCAGGUUGACUGUUGUAAUAAAAAUUAAGAGACAUGUUUCUUCGUCAAUAUGUUCUUAUGGGGACUUUCUAUAUUUGAUUUUCUUAUAAUAUUAUUUUAAGGGCCUUCCUUUUAACGCUAUGCUAAGGUCAAAUUUAGUCAUCAAUUCAACUUGGUAAAAAUGAUUCGACUUAGACUUGUUUUUUAGUACUAUCAUAUAUGAAAAAAUAAAUUAUUAAGUAUUUAAAACUUGGAUGAUGGAAAUUUUUUUUGAAUAGUAUCAUGCGCCCUUAUCCCAAUUUGAUUUAAGAAUCAAAUAUAUUUAUAAUUUUAUUAGAGCAAAUAACAUAUCACUAGUCAAAUUUAAUUUAUUGACUAUAAUAUCUUUAAAAAUCUUCUAUAAUAUUUCUAAAUUUUAAAAUGCUUUUUAAUUUUUUGGACGAAUAUCGAAAAAUAAAAAAGGCCGUGGUCUGGUCUAAGGAGGGGAGGUGGGCGUGGUGGAUGCGAUGUGCGCCGACCUGUAAUCCUCCCACCGUCAAGAGAGAGCGGUUAUCGUUGCUCUGUGAAGCCAGCCUGACGCGGUGCCCUCUGCUCUAAGAACCAUGAAUCACAGGCCUUCGCCCAAGCCGCAUGGCUCAGCUACCUGACUUGGAACGGGCAGGCCAGGCUUCUACACGAUCGCAACCAACCCAGCUGUGGCUCCAUAGACCAUUCCAAACCUCAUUUGCCCCCGCUUGGGUUACAAGACAACGCUACCUGACUCGGCGAUGG
rnacentral:lncRNA from 1 species